GAAAUGCGAUAACUAAUGUGAAUUGCAGAAUUCAGUGAAUCAUCGAGUCUUUGAACGCACAUUGCGCCCUCUGGUAUUCCGGAGGGCAUGCCUGUCCGAGCGUCAUUGCUGCCCUCAAGCACGGCUUGUGUGUUGGGCCCCGUCCCCCCCGCUCCGGGGGGGACGGGCCCGAAAGGCAGCGGCGGCACCGCGUCCGGUCCUCGAGCGUAUGGGGCUUCGUCACCCGCUCUUGUAGGCCCGGCCGGCGCCAGCCGACCCCCAACCUUUUAUUUUUUCUCAGGUUGACCUCGGAUCAGGUAGGGAUACCCGCUGAACUUAAGC
rnacentral:misc_RNA from 1 species